UGCUCAAUCCUAAUACGAGUCCUAACACACACACACACGUAUAUAUAUAUACCAUAGAAAAGAGAUCUGCUUAAUUAAUGCAACUAUUUGAUUGUUUGAUUGUGUUUAUUUUGUGUGUGUGUGUUAAAGUUCAUCUCUGUCAUGAAAUCAUGUACAUGUUUGGAGCAGUUGGUCUUGUUUUGUUGAACUCUGUUACACUGACAGCAGAACUGAUCCUGAAAGCACGAAACGGUGAGCGUGCUUUGAAGGAUCUGAGAGUCAUUGUCUUCCCCUCCGAAUGUGUUUUUGCCUUGUAUUGGCUGGUUUUACAAAUAUAUGCUUACUAUCUACACACAAUCAAAAGAACUCAGAUCAAAGACACAGACAUCAG